UGCCUUCGGGAACCGUGAGACAGGUGCUGCAUGGCUGUCGUCAGCUCGUGUUGUGAAAUGUUGGGUUAAGUCCCGCAACGAGCGCAACCCUUAUCCUUUGUUGCCAGCGGUCCGGCCGGGAACUCAAAGGAGACUGCCAGUGAUAAACUGGAGGAAGGUGGGGAUGACGUCAAGUCAUCAUGGCCCUUACGACCAGGGCUACACACGUGCUACAAUGGCGCAUACAAAGAGAAGCGACCUCGCGAGAGCAAGCGGACCUCAUAAAGUGCGUCGUAGUCCGGAUUGGAGUCUGCAACUCGACUCCAUGAAGUCGGAAUCGCUAGUAAUCGUGGAUCAGAAUGCCACGGUGAAUACGUUCCCGGGCCUUGUACACACCGCCCGUCACACCAUGGGAGUGGGUUGCAAAAGAAGUAGGUAGCUUAACCUUCGGGAGGGCGCUUACCACUUUGUGAUUCAUGACUGGGGUGAAGUCGUAACAAGGUAACCG
rnacentral:rRNA from 1 species